GGGAUCUGGGUGUUGGGUGCAUUAAUUAUUUUCAUUAAUUAGGUUGUAAAGAUUCUG
rnacentral:tRNA from 1 species